rnacentral:lncRNA from 1 species
ACGCCCCAAGACUGAAGUUCAGGUGGAAGCUGCCCCAAGGGCUUCUUUGGAUAUUCAUCCUCUUUACCUGAAAAGAAAGAGAAAGGCUAAACUCAUCAUUUCAAUCUGGGAUCUCCCUGGAAUUUUACAUUAAUUAUACCUCCCCAUGUGACGCCAUCCACAAAUCUGAACACCACGCUACCAAUGCUUUCAUCCAAGUGACUGGUAACAAGUACUGAACUGAGUAAGAACAAAAAUGGAGCACCCUAACUUCUCUAAAAGGUAAAGAACUCUCAAAGGAAAUGGAGGAUGCCCUAUAUAGAAAAAUUAAAUAAAGAAUAUGAACAGGAAACUCAAAGAAGAAAAGAGCAGGUAAAUAUAUCACAAGUUAUCAGAAAAAUGCAAAUUAAAAUACUUCUAAAUUGGUAUAUCUCACUACUGUGGGCUUGGAGAAACAAAUUCUCCAAUUUGACAAUGCAUAUUGAAAUGUUUGAUCUAGGAAUUCCACCUCUGAGAAUUUAUCCUAAGACAAUUAAGGGAUAUGCAAAAUAUUUGCUAUAAGGAUGUUCAAAACUGCAUUCUUUUAGAAAACUUAUAUCCUCAGCAUAGAGGAUUUGUGAAAUUCAGUAACAAUUAUGAAACAAAAAUAUGGUGAAAUAAGGUAUAGAAACUUGUAGCAGCCUACUGCCAUAUUAAUGUAUUUUUAACACUAACUAGUUAAAAAGAAAGUUAUAGACAAUAUGUGUAGUAUAAUCUCAUUUACUAUGAAUGACAUACAGGCAUAAAUCAAUACAUAUGUCUACAAAAAUGACUGAAAGAAAUAAACGCUAGUAGUCAUUAAUAUAGUUUUUAAAUGCUCUUAGAUUGAAUGAUUAUUUUUCCUUAAGUACUACAUAUUUUUUCUGCUGUAAACAUGUAUUAAUCUGAGUAACAGAGAAGUAUGAAGUUUAAAAGCACAGAAUACUGUUCUACAGGUAGGAUGACAUAAAUCUGCAGUUUUGGUGUAUGACUUGUAAAAAAUAUUUUUAGCUUAUCCAAAAAAGUAUUUUAAGACUUUGCCAGACACUUUACUUUUGUUGAUGGCAUUCUUCCAAUUCAUUAAAUGAGCAAUCUUACCAAAAAACAAAGUCAGAUUAAUCAAGUAUGGCAUCGCUUGAUGGAGUCAUGAUGAGUGAUCACCUUCUUUGCUUUCUGAGUGAUCAAAAAUCCAUUUUUAAUUAAUCCAUUUAUUGAUUCUUGCCUCAGACAGGCAUCAUGUUUACUUGUCUGUGAUUUACAUUAUUCAACUUUAAUCCUCUGUAAAAAGUGGAACUACAUUUUUCUUAUCGCUGCCCUUCAAACACCUGCUUGGCUCCACAUCCUUUCCCAGAUGACUGUCAAUCACAGUUCACUCAGUCGAAUGGUAUGUUCCAGGGUCUCUUAGUCACAGCUUGGCCGCACUUGGCUUCAAGUUCCUCCUAUCAAUAUUUAUUCAAAUGUUCUCAUUCUAAAACCUCUUUUUCACUGAAAACAUGGAAGCGAAACACUACUGGACUACUGCCUACACCCCUCACUCAGAGGAGUGGUCCUGUCCUUCCCCUAGUUCUCAUUCAAAUACACAGAGGCCCUUGGCUGGCGUUAGUUACAAGGACAGGGUAGGGAAGAGAGGUCAAGGACAGCAGCAAGAUGGUUUCAUAAAACACCAGUGUGGUGCAGGAAACAAUAAACUGUAGCGUGGGAGUGGAGGGGAGGAGGUGUGGGAAAAAUGCGGAACACCUUUGAGGAAAAUGUUGCCAUGGCAUGGUCUAUUCCUAUGUUGUGAUAUUCACAGAUUUUCAUUCUGGAAUCCUUUAGCCACAGAGGAGGCACAUAUCAGUAAAGACUGAGCUGGACACAUAGUAAAAUGUAGAAUUACCAAUAUAAGGCAUGUGUUUCUUAGGAGAAAGAAAAAACCAAUUGAGAAGUAAUGGAAGGACUGAGGUGGUAAUUUCAGGCACAAAACAAAAUGCAAAGGUAUGUGUCAUACAUACGUAGGAGAUUUAAUUUUUUAAUAUAAGGAGUAAGAAAAAUAUUUACCUUAUAAUUAAUUCUACUUUAUAUUCCAGUAAACACAGAAAUGUCUCUCUCUAAGGAAGAGGGCCUAAUAGUCUACACAUCACACAUCUAUGCAUCAUAUUAGAAUUAAAGGAAAAGUUUAACACGUUCCAUUUAUUGAAUGGACAAGAGGCCAAAAUGCACACUGGGGAAAAACAAUCUGUGGCUGUUCUGCAAUGUCCAAAAAGCAGCAUCUUAAAGUUCUUUCAUGGCAGCCCCUAAUAUCUUUUCCCUCCCCCUAGUAGGCUAUAACCUACUUACUUCUUUUGUAUUCCUUCCCAUAGUAUCUAAAAGCAUAAUACAAUCACAAGGAAGGUGUUGACAAUGUUCGUUCACUCAACUAUUCAUAUGAGUUAGAGUAAUGACACACUGUCCAUAUACACAGGCAGAAACCUGAGGGUUAUAAAUAUCCAAGAUCCAUAUUGCUAAGAAAUUAGAUGUAGCAGGGUUCGGGGGGGAAGAAAUCCAGUACAGACAAAAUGACGCUGCCUCUAAUCCAUUCCUAAAUGAUAACCUCUCUUUAGGAACUACUGUUUAAGAGGAAUAUGGCAAAUACCUCAACUGUAGAAAAACAUUUAGAGGUUAUGGCCUCUUUGCUCUGCAGAGAUUUUCAAUAAGGAUGCAAAAGGCAGGAGACAGGGAUAUAAGAAAGCCUUUCAAAUACAGGUGCUGAAAAACCCAUUCCUCCACAUUUUAAAGACAAUAAACCAAGUGAGGCUGGAGGCCCCGCACAGUGGGGGAUGGGCAUUCCCAAGUGCCCAGAUCAGACUACAGGGCUGGGGUUUGCUUCACUUUAAACAGUGCCAGCUCACUCCUGCUUUCUAGAGUGAUCCAUGGCCAGGGAGCAGGCUAAAUACUAACAAGUAUAGCCCGUGCACGCUCAUGAUACCUGCACCAACGUCCAUCUCCCAUGAACAUUUGCUGAUGCUAACGCUGCGAUUAUGCCAUCUACACAUUUCUCCCACAGCUGCCUAACACCUCUGAAUAGUGUAAUAUUCUCAGAAAUUCCACAAUGAGCAGUGUAUAUACAGCUUACGUUUCCAGGGAGGCCCUCAGGCCCCCGGGGCAGCGCUGUGGAGGUAGUAACGCUGUGCCUCUCAUGAGGAGGAGAAGCAAGAAGGGGCGGAGACAGUGAAGGAGAGGUGAGGAAGAAGGAAGACGUGGCGGGGAGGUCACGGAAGGCAAGUAAUGGAGAGGACCAGAGAAGCAGCCAGCAGCGCAGAGGGCAUGAGGAUGGAGAAGGUGGAGGAUGGAGGCAGCCGCAGGGAACCUCAUGGAGGGCCCGCGGGGACUCGCUGGCUUUUCACAGCCUCUGUAGGGACAGAGGCCUCGGCUCCACCAGCAAUACGGAACCCAAGGACGCCAUGCCAGGAUCUGGCCUCUACUAUGAUGAAGAGGAAAAUCUCCUUGACUUCAUUACAGAGGCGGUUCCUUUCUAGAGAUUAAUUAUUCAACCUCCACUGAACUGAAAACACAUCAUGCAGACCCUGUAAGAAGGACGAAUGCCAUCACCAGUAACAUUUUUAUAUGCCAAUUAGUAUUCUCUACCCUUCUUCACAGAAGUAGGUCCAAAUAAAGCAUUCAACAUUUUGGUGUGAUCUA